rnacentral:rRNA from 1 species
GGUGAGUGACACGUGGAUAACCUACCUAUAAGACUGGGAUAACUUCGGGAAACCGGAGCUAAUACCGGAUAAUAUAUUGAACCGCAUGGUUCAAUAGUGAAAGACGGUUUUGCUGUCACUUAUAGAUGGAUCCGCGCCGCAUUAGCUAGUUGGUAAGGUAACGGCUUACCAAGGCAACGAUGCGUAGCCGACCUGAGAGGGUGAUCGGCAACACUGGAACUGAGACACGGUCCAG